CUGGAACGGACCGUCAUAGAGGGUGAGAAUCCCGUAUGGGAUGGGGUGUCUGCGCCCAUGUGAAACUCCUUCGACGAGUCGAGUUGUUUGGGAAUGCAGCUCUAAAUGGGUGGUAAAUUUCAUCUAAAGCUAAAUAUUGGCCGGAGACCGAUAGCGCACAAGUAGAGUGAUCGAAAGAUGAAAAGCACUUUGAAAAGAGAGUUAAAAAGCACGUGAAAUUGUUGAAAGGGAAGCGCUUGCGAUCAGACUCGCCUUGGGGGUUCAGCCGGCAUUCGUGCCGGUGUACUUCCCCCAGGGCGGGCCAGCGUCGGUUUGGGUGGCCGGUCAAAGGCCCUUGGAAUGUAACGCCUCUCGGGGCGUCUUAUAGCCAAGGGUGCCAUGCGGCCUACCUGGACCGAGGAACGCGCUUCGGCUCGGACGCUGGCAUAAUGGUCGUAAGCGACCC
rnacentral:rRNA from 1 species